GAUGAACGCUGGCGGCGUGCUUAACACAUGCAAGUCGAACGGAAAGGCUCCUGCUUGCCGGGGUUCUCGAGUGGCGAACGGGUGAGUAACACGUGGGUGAUCUGCCCUGCACUUCGGAAUAAGCCUGGGCAACUGGUUCUAAUACCGGAUAGGACGAUGGGUUGGAUGCCAUUGUGCAGAGUUUUUCGGUGUGGGAUGAGCUGGCGGCCUAUAGGCUUGUUGGUGGGGUAAUGGCUUCCCAAGGCGCCGUCGGUUAGCCGGCCGGGGAGGGUGUACGGCGACAUGGGGACUGAGGGACGGCGCAGAGUCCUACGGGAGGCAGCAGGGGGGAAUAUUGCACAAUGAGCGCAAGCGUGAGGCAGCGGUGCUGCGUGGGGGAUGACGGCCUUCGGGUUGUAAACUGCUUUCGGUAGGGACGAAGCGGAAGUGACGGUACCUGGAGAAGAAGCACCGGCUAACUACGUG
rnacentral:rRNA from 1 species